CGCACCGUGCGCGCCCACGGUCUAUGCGCGUGCCGUGCGAACCACCGAUUCUGCACUUCCUGGGCCAGACUGAUUUUGAUCGCUUAACUAAUCGUCAGGGGUCAUGAGGCCUAAGUCAGCUUCAGUCAUGGCUGUUCUUUCUGUGAAGAGAACCACAGGGCGCUCUUUUUGGAUUUCGGUGUUUCUCCUGCUUAUCUUCACUCAGAUGUUAACCUCCCUGGUGCUCUAUUCUGGUGUGUUCAUUCUCUCCAACGAAGCCCUCAUCAGCCCCUUUUGCUUUUGUCUAAAACAUGUUCAACAUGGUGAACCCUCCUGCAACAGGUGGUACAGGAGCCCUGUCAACGGAGCUGAAUCCAAGAUAAAAAUUAACUUCCUCACAACAGUGGUUACUCUGGGUUUGUACAUUCCAGUGGUGCUUGUGGCCUUUGCCCUGCUGGCCAUGCUGUUAGCAGCUUACGCCAAAGACAGAGCAGCCCUCUGGUUUAGCAUGGCCUGCCAGGCUGCAUCAAGCCUACUCAUCCUGACUGGCAUUGUUAGUUUUUUGCUACUCAAUCAGUCGUAUGUGAGCUGGCAACACAUGACCCUCUGGUUCUAUAUCUGUGUGGCUGUGCAGGUUGAGCUGGUUAUCGUAACUGCACUGACCCAUGUGUCGGGAAGGAGGCUAACGUCUGACUGGAAAUAGAUGGGUCCAAAUAAAAACACAUCCUCGCCUUUUUAACGGAAGGGACGUUUGAUUGGUGAGCUUCAGGACAGUGGUGAUUAAAGUUUAUAAUCAAAUUUCAAAUGUAUUUUUUUGUUACAUGUUCUUUAUGUUUUCACUAAACAGUGGUCAAAUCUUUGGUUUGAGGCAAAUGCUGACAAGGCCUAAUGACAGAUUUUCUGAUAAACUGUACCCAUUAUUUGUUAAAUCUACUGGAACAUACUGUGAUUGCUUUUGCAUGACGUAACAGUGUUUUUGAAUUGUAGACCAACUGGUUUGAGAAACUGACAUCAGUGUGUAAAUAAAAAAACAGGAAUAGCUGGU